rnacentral:rRNA from 1 species
CCUACGGGAGGCAGCAGUGAGGAAUCUUCCGCAAUGGGCGAAAGCCUGACGGAGCGACGCCGCGUGGUGGAUGAAGGCCUUUUAGGUCGUAAACACCUGUUCUGAGGGACGAAAUUUUUGACGGUACCUCAGGAGAAAGUAUCGGCUAACCCCUGCUGCCAGCAGCCGCGGCUAAGACAGGGGAUACAAGCGUUACUCGGGAAUCACUGGGCGUAAAGCGUCUGUAGGCUUUUUAGACAGUCCGAGGUCAAAUGUCGGGGCUCAACCCCGUCAACGUCUUGGAUACUACUAAAAUUGAGCAAUGGAGAGGCACCUGGAAUGCCAUGUGUAGGAGUAAAAUCCGUAGAUAUAUGGUAGAACGCCAAAAGUGAAGACAGGGAUGCUAGCCAUUCGCUGACGCUGAGAGACGAAAGCGUGGGGAGCAAAGGGGAUUAGAUACCCCCGUAGUCCACGCCCUAAACUAUGUGUGCUCGGUGUGGGGGAUUUUCAAUUGUCCUCCGUGCCUUAGCUAACGCGGUAAGCACACCGCCUGGGAAGUACGGUCGCAAGACUAAACUCAAAGGAAUUGACGG